GGAGUUAGCCGGUGCUUCUUCUGUGAGUGAUGUCCUUCCUGCCGGCUAUUAACCCGCAGGCCUUCUUCCUCACUGAAAGUGCUUUACAACCCGAAGGCCUUCUUCACACACGCGGCAUGGCUGGAUCAGGGUUGCCCCCAUUGUCCAAUAUUCCCCACUGCUGCCUCCCGUAGGAGUCUGGGCCGUGUCUCAGUCCCAGUGUGGCUGAUCAUCCUCUCAGACCAGCUACGGAUCGUCGCCUUGGUUAGCCGUUACCUCACCAACCAGCUAAUCCGACAUAGGCUCAUCCGAUAGCGCGAGGCCCGAAGGUCCCCCGCUUUCCCCCGUAGGGCGUAUGCGGUAUUAGCCUGGGUUUCCCCAGGUUAUCCCCCACUACCGGGCAGAUUCCUAUGCAUUACUCACCCGUCCGCCGCUCGCCACCAGGGAGCAAGCUCCCCGUGCUGCCGCUCGACUUGCAUGUGUUAGGCCUGCCGCCAGCGUUCAAUCUGAGCCAGAAAUCGAACCCUGA
rnacentral:rRNA from 1 species